UACGGAGGGUGCGAGCGUUGUCCGGAAUCAUUGGGCGUAAAGGGCGCGUAGGUGGCCUGGCAAGCGUGCGGUGAAAUCCCUCGGCUUAACCGGGGAACUGCGUCCGAUACUGGUUGGCUUGAGUUUGGGAGAGGGAUGCGGAAUUCCAGGUGUAGCGGUGAAAUGCGUAGAUAUCUGGAGGAACACCGGUGGCGAAGGCGGCAUCCUGGACCAAUACUGACGCUGAGGAGCGAAAGCCAGGGGAGCAAACGGG
rnacentral:rRNA from 1 species